rnacentral:rRNA from 1 species
UGGGGAAUUUUGGACAAUGGGCGAAAGCCUGAUCCAGCAAUGCCGCGUGUGUGAAGAAGGCCUUCGGGUUGUAAGCACUUUUGUCCGGAAAGAAAUCCUUGGCUCUAAUACAGUCGGGGGAUGACGGUACCGGAAGAAUAAGCACCGGCUAACUACGUGCCAGCAGCCGCGGUAAUACGUAGGGUGCAAGCGUUAAUCGGAAUUACUGGGCGUAAAGCGUGCGCAGGCGGUUUGCUAAGACCGAUGUGAAAUCCCCGGGCUCAACCUGGGAACUGCAUUGGUGACUGGCAGGCUAGAGUAUGGCAGAGGGGGGUAGAAUUCCACGUGUAGCAGUGAAAUGCGUAGAGAUGUGGAGGAAUACCGAUGGCGAAGGCAGCCCCCUGGGCCAAUACUGACGCUCAUGCACGAAAGCGUGGGGAGCAAACAGGAUUAGAUACCCUGGUAGUCCACGCCCUAAACGAUGUCAACUAGUUGUUGGGGAUUCAUUUCCUUAGUAACGUAGCUAACGCGUGAAGUUGACCGCCUGGGGAGUACGGUCGCAAGAUUAAAACUUAAAUGAAUUGACGGGGUCAUA